UUUUGCCUCAGUCUUCUGAAUCUUUGGAAUUAUAGGCAUGUCCCCAAUGCACCCAGCUCAACUAUUAUUUUUAAUACCACAAUGCAAGAUGUAGAGCACCUUUGUUUCCUUGGACUGGCAUGCCCGUAUCCCAGCAUAGGCCCCAAAGGUAGGUGGUUAGGGAAGCUUGCCAAAGGGAAACUGGAAAGAGGAGGAAGGGCUGCUUGUGCAUCUCACCAGACAUGGCACUGUGGUCCUGAAUAAACAUAUGUCAGGUCAAUGACAUAUGUCUUAAUUCAUGCCAGACACUACUGGGAGCUGGACAUGUGAAAGAGUAAGACACGAUUUAUUAUUUGCUGCCAAAUGGCUCAAUAAGUGACCUCUUGUAUCCAUUCCUUGGUCCAAAUUUCAAUUCAGACUCAUGGCAAAGGAGGAAAGAAAGUCAUUCAGACUGAUGAGUGGAGGAAAAGCCCCACAGAACAGCUUGAGUGUGCCCUUGGGAAGUAGACAUUUGUCAGCUCUUGGGGGUGAAGGAUCUGAACUUCAGAACCCUUAUCAAGGCACCAUUGUGCUAGCCACCAUAAAGUGUGACAUGCAUGACAUAG